AAGGGCGGAUCUAGGUUGGAGGGA
rnacentral:siRNA from 1 species